rnacentral:tRNA from 1 species
CGGGGAGUGGCUCAGUUUGGUAGAGCGCUUGGUUCGGGACCAAGAGGUCGUCGGUUCAAAUCCGGUCUCCCCGA